UGGGGAAUAUUGCACAAUGGGGGAAACCCUGAUGCAGCAACGCCGCGUGAGUGAAGAAGUAUUUCGGUAUGUAAAGCUCUAUCAGCAGGGAAGAAAAUGACGGUACCUGACUAAGAAGCCCCGGCUAACUACGUGCCAGCAGCCGCGGUAAUACGUAGGGGGCAAGCGUUAUCCGGAUUUACUGGGUGUAAAGGGAGCGUAGACGGUGAAGCAAGUCUGAAGUGAAAGCCCGGGGCUCAACCCCGGGACUGCUUUGGAAACUGUUUUACUAGAGUGCAGGAGAGGUAAGCGGAAUUCCUAGUGUAGCGGUGAAAUGCGUAGAUAUUAGGAGGAACACCAGUGGCGAAGGCGGCUUACUGGACUGUAACUGACGUUGAGGCUCGAAAGCGUGGGGAGCAAACAGG
rnacentral:rRNA from 1 species